ensembl:snoRNA SNORD114-25 small nucleolar RNA, C/D box 114-25
UGGACCGAAUGAUGACAACCACUGGUGGCAUAUGAGUCAUGGACGAUGAGUACAUCUCUGGAACUCUGAGGUCCGU